CGCGGCCAUGUUGGAGGCACUCGAUGUAGACACUGCGCUGUAAUGCAUGUAAACUCUGCGCUGGAUAAACGAAAACGCUGCGAUGGAUAAAGGUCAUAAACCCAAGAAAAGCUCGUCAAAAGGCGUUAUAGAUGCAAAGGCAUACAGAGAAGGACUCGGACCGGGCGAAAAAGCACGAUAUUUGAGGAAGUUAGAUUUGAUUGGUGGUGCAGAUCCCUACGAGUUGGCUCCCUCGUCUUGGAUCAAUGACGACCCGGAGAGUCUUCCGUCUGUUUGUUAUCCUGACAUCGUCAACUACCUGGUUUUCUCGCCAAGCCCAUACACAGCGGAAGACCUUAAAGCGUACAAAAGUUUGGAGGCCUAUAACCAGAUGGUGUGUGGAUGGGUGAGGGAGAUUCAAUACCAAGUCAUCGAUGACAGAUGUGUUGCGAAGGCCAAAGUUCUCCAUUCUCAAUCAAUCCGAGAAACACCCCUGGAACCCUGGAUAAUCGCUGAGAAGUCUGGUCGGAUACUUGGAGCCCACUGCACGUGUAUGGCUGGCCUCGGAGAGACGUGCACACAUGUUGCUGCAUUAUUGUUUCUCAUAGAAGAAACAGUGAAGUUGAGGACUCAAAGACAGUGACGCAAGAGAAGGCGUAUUGGCUGUUACCUACUGCACUGUCUAAGGUGGAAUACAGGGAAUGCCGGAAGAUUGACUUCACUGUAACCAAGAGGUCUCAAGUAAAAAGAGCUGGCAGGAUGAAAUGUGCUGCUCUUGGACAGCCACUUGAGGACCCAAGUGAUACUUCCACUUCUUCUACUGUUACAGUUGGGAAACCGCAACAGCCAAC
ensembl:lncRNA